GCCGGCUUAGCUCAUUUGGUAGAGCAGUUGAUUUGUAAUCAUCAGGUAGCCAGUUCGAUUCCGGCAGCCGGCACCA
rnacentral:tRNA from 2 species